rnacentral:rRNA from 1 species
GACGAACGCUGGCGGCGUGCCUAAUACAUGCGAGUUGAGCGAUGAAGCUUGGUGCUUGCACCAAUUUGAAGAGCAGCGAACGGGUGAGUAACGCGUGGGGAAUCUGCCUUUGAGCGGGGGACAACAUUUGGAAACGAAUGCUAAUACCGCAUAACAACUUUAAACAUAAGUUUUAAGUUUGAAAGAUGCAAUUGCAUCACUCAAAGAUGAUCCCGCGUUGUAUUAGCUAGUUGGUGAGGUAAAGGCUCACCAAGGCGAUGAUACAUAGCCGACCUGAGAGGGUGAUCGGCCACAUUGGGACUGAGACACGGCCCAAACUCCUACGGGAGGCAGCAGUAGGGAAUCGUCGGCAAGGGACGAAAGUCUGACCGAGCAACGCCGCGUGAGGGAAGAAGGGUUUCGGAUCGGAAAACUCUGUUGGUAGAGAAGAACGUUGGUGAGAGUGGAAAGCUCAUCAAGUGACGGUAACUACCCAGAAAGGGACGGCUAACUACGUG